UUGGAGGGCAAGUCUGGUGCCAGCAGCCGCGGUAAUUCCAGCUCCAAUAGCGUAUAUUAAAGUUGUUGCAGUUAAAAAGCUCGUAGUUGAAUUUCGAGAUCAGUACGCUGGUCGUGCCUUCGGUAUGCACUGGUGUCACUGGUUUCUCCCUUCUGAAGAACCGUCAUGCCAUUCAGUUGGUGUGGCGGGGAAUCAGGACUGUUACUUUGAAAAAAUUAGAGUGUUUAAAGCAGGCUCGCGCUUGAAUACAUUAGCAUGGAAUAAUGAAAUAGGACGUUUGACCCUAUUUUGUUGGUUUCUAGGAUCGACGUAAUGAUUAAUAGGGAUAGUUGGGGGCAUUAGUAUUCAAUUGUCAGAGGUGAAAUUCUUGGAUUUAUUGAAGACUAACUACUGCGAAAGCAUUUGCCAAGGAUGUUUUCAUUAAUCAAGAACGAAAGUUAGGGGAUCGAAGACGAUCAGAUACCGUCGUAGUCUUAACCAUAAACUAUGCCGACUAGGGAUCGGAUGAUGUUAAUUUUUUAAUGACUCAUUCGGCGCCUUACGGGAAAC
rnacentral:rRNA from 2 species